rnacentral:lncRNA from 1 species
CCAAUAGUGUUAUUUUUACAAUAGAAAUAGCUUUAUUGUAUCUUUCUAAUUUAUAAAGAAUUCAUGAUCAUUGUUAAAAUAAUCAUAAUAACAAUCAUUAUUUUUAAUAGUGCUAGGGAAUCAAACCCCUUAUACAUACUAGGCAAGCGCUCUACCACUGAGCUAUAACCCCUGCCCCAAAUAAUUUUUUUAAAUAUGAAGAAAUAUGUUAGAAUUUAUCUAAUUCUAUCUUUGGCUUAACAAAUAGUUAAGUACAAAUAUUCUGAAAUCCUUCUUCCCUAUCAUGGUCACCAUUGAUAUUUCCAGCACCAUUUGUCAAAUAAUCCAUCCUGCCCCCACUUGUUUAUAAUACUAACUCUAUAAUACAAAAGAGCAUACUUUUCUAACAUUUGGAAAACUUAAAAGAAUUGAUACUAGAUUUGGAUAUAAUUUACAGAAUUUUAACUAUUGUCUUAAAAGGAUUUUCAUAAGGUAACCUGAUUUCCUUAAGCAGGGUAAAUAAGUAAAAAGAAUACAAAGUACUAUCAUGUAAGAAGUAAAGAUUUCCUAAGAAUGGCCAGUUCUUUUAUGGUUUGAGGAAGUAUGAAAACUAAGAACUGCAAAUUUAUGAAACAGAGGCACAGAUUGUCUUAGUUUCACAUCCAGCGUGCCAUAUGCAUCUUGCUAAAUGUUCUUAAAUUAAGACCACUAGCAUUUCCUCUCACAAAUAAUUUAUCUGUAAUGUGUCAUGGAAGUAUCCAAGAGAAAACAGCCAAUUUCUAGAAAAGCACUGCAUAAACAGUCUUGCUAGAAUGUGAAGCCAGGAAUACCUGCAUUACUCUCUUUGGGAGGCUUUAUGGAAAGAAGUCAUUUGUUAUAUUUCACCACCACCAUGAAACAGAUGACCAUAACUUUGCCCUACCCAUGAAUAUCUUUCAAGAAAAUUAAUGACUUGUCAUUUUUGUGAACUUCAUUGUUAUAUUCCUCAUGAGUAUAUUAAAAUAUAUUUGAUUUAUAAAUUUAAAAAAUUAUUAGUACCAGUUACAGACCAUAUUGAUCAGCAUUUAGGAUGAGAGUCCUUUUGUUUUUCUACCCUUGGGCCCAAUUUUCUUGCCAAAAAUACCGAUGAGGUUACUCAGCUUUUAGGAAGACAUCCUAUGAUAUAUAUGACAUGAAGUUUUGAAAAUGUAGUCAAUUAUUAUUCAUCUCUUUUCCAAAGUGGUUUAAAAUAUUUUAAAUGAUUAAAAUACAAACCGUCUUCAACCUAAAAUGGUUUGACUUACAAUUUUUUCUACCUUACGAUGGUAUAAAAGUGAGAUGCAUGCAG